rnacentral:rRNA from 1 species
GAUGAACGCUGGCGGCGUGCCUAAUACAUGCAAGUCGAGCGAACAGACGAGGAGCUUGCUCCUCUGACGUUAGCGGCGGACGGGUGAGUAACACGUGGAUAACCUACCUAUAAGACUGGGAUAACUUCGGGAAACCGGAGCUAAUACCGGAUAAUAUAUUGAACCGCAUGGUUCAAUAGUGAAAGACGGUUUUGCUGUCACUUAUAGAUGGAUCCGCGCCGCAUUAGCUAGUUGGUAAGGUAACGGCUUACCAAGGCAACGACGCGUAGCCGACCUGAGAGGGUGAUCGGCCACACUGGAACUGAGACACGGUCCAGACUCCUACGGGAGGCAGCAGUAGGGAAUCUUCCGCAAUGGGCGAAAGCCUGACGGAGCAACGCCGCGUGAAUGAUGAAGGUCUUCGGAUCGUAAAACUCUGUUAUUAGGGAAGAACAAAUGUGUAAGUAACUAUGCACGUCUUGACGGUACCUAAUCAGAAAGCCACGGCUAACUACGUG